GUGAAUCAUCGAAUCUUUGAACGCAAAUUGCACUCUCCGGUUUUCCGGGAAAGUAUGCCUGUUUGAGGGUCUGUUUAAAAAAUAAUCGAGUCUGCUGCUGUGGUGGCGCUUCGGAAGUUGGUCAUCUUCCACCUUUCGGGGUUGUAAGCGACCUAAAAUUUUUCUUACGAUUCCUACUAACGUGUCUAAGAAUUUUGCUUAUACGUUCGCUACAUCGAAUUCAUAUUAGGGCCGACCGCCGCGUCGG
rnacentral:misc_RNA from 1 species